GAUGAACGCUGGCGGCGUGCCUAAUACAUGCAAGUCGAGCGAACGGAUGAGAAGCUUGCUUCUCUGAUGUUAGCGGCGGAAGGGUGAGUAACACGUGGAUAACCUACCUAUAAGACUGGGAUAACUUCGGGAAACCGGAGCUAAUACCGGAUAAUAUUUUGAACCGCAUGGUUCAAAAGUGAAAGACGCUCUUGCUGUCACUUAUAGAUGGAUCCGCGCUGCAUUAGCUAGUUGGUAAGGUAACGGCUUACCAAGGCAACGAUGCAUAGCCGACCUGAGAGGGUGAUCAGCCACACUGGAACUGAGACACGGUCCAGACUCCUACGGGAGGCAGCAGUAGGGAAUCUUCCGCAAUGGGCGAAAGCCUGACGGAGCAACGCCGCGUGAGUGAUGAAGGUCUUCGGAUCGUAAAACUCUGUUAUUAGGGAAGAACAUAUGUGUAAGUAACUGUGCACAUCUUGACGGUACCUAAUCAGAAAGCCACGGCUAACUACGUG
rnacentral:rRNA from 1 species